rnacentral:lncRNA from 1 species
AUAUCUUCUUUUCCUAUGAAAUCGAUUAUAGCCAUUUUCGUUACGGAGAGAUCGAAAGCAGAAAUGGCAAGAGAAGCAACGACGAAAUUGAAACAUAACUCAAACAAGACAAGAUUUCUGAGGAUAGCUGGCUGUGUCUAAGAAUGGGUCGGAGCAUCUUCGAUGUCGUCUCUCUUAGAGGUAAAGUCUUCAAGUAUGUGGGGAAAGCUUGGAACAAUGCUUAUCUGUUUUCGUGCCAUCAAGUUUUCUUGCUGAAGAACAAUACAUCAGAGAGUGAUCCAGAGGAGUUGAUGGGAGAACGAAGCGGUGAAACUAUGUGACUAUGCAUUGUUGAAGCUAUUGGAGAACGUAUUUGUGAAGCCAUCAGGUAAUGCAGCGGAGAACCAAUGGGAGUAUGAAUUGGUGAAGUGAGAGGUGAUCGUAGAGGUGAAUUUUGCGUUUGGUAUAACGCAUGACGCAAACCCACAAUUUCAGAAGGCUCCGUUGUGCUGUAGAUGUGAUCAUGUUGUUCAAAGAUUGUUUCUCCAGAAUCGUCGUCUAAACACGUCAGAUGACUUCCAUCAGGAUUAAUCUCUUCAUGACCUUCUGAUGCUGAAUCCUGGUGAUUAGUAACAGUCUCAUCUGCAAAAUCCAUGCCAUAAUCCACAAAGCUAGGUGAAUCCAGGACAGUAUCUGCUUUCUCUCGAAUAGAGAACUUAAGUACACCGGAACAACUGCCACAUCUCACUUGAUAUCUUUGACGUUUUCCUUGGGGAGACACUUGAGGAAGCUGUAGAAGUUCCAAGCAAUAGGAACAAGUUGCAAAAGGUGCACCGCCGGCUGAAGGGAGAAUAUGGCGCUUCACUACCGGAUUCCUUUCCCUGACAUACCGUUUUUUGUUCCUUAGAAUGCUCUUUUCACUACUUGUGUCACUCUUAGAAAUCCCUACAGAAUGCUCAGAGUAUGUAGAGCGGUGUGGCGCAGCAGCUGGUACAUAACUACGCUCAGAGUACACAGAGUGAUGCGGGGUUUCAGAUCUACUUGGUUCAUAAAGAUUAUGAUACUGAAGAUCAUGUAGCUGAGACUGAGAAGACCUGUGAUAGUACUUUCCAUCAGAUGUCUCACCCGGAAAACGAGUAGGUGAAGCAACAGAAGAUUCUUGAAACCAGCCUUCUCUGCUAUACUGCUCGAAUUGGUUUGGUUGUUGAUGAUAAUAAGACUGCUCUGAUGCAGAAACGUAAGACCCGUGAAAAGGACUACUGUAGCCAUAUUCAUAUGCAGAAGAAGGGGAAGGACUUGCUGGAUAGAAAGGAACCCGAGGUGGAUCUGCGUAUCUUCCCUCAUGUUGUGCCCAUUGCGCAGCAUUGCUGCGUGUGUUAUAUGGAGAGCUUCUUUCUGAAGUAAACACAUCAGAAUCACCGGUCUCACUGAAGUCAUCAGUCCUUCUCAUCCAUUCUCUGCGGAUAUCAGAUGUCUCAGGCUUGUAAACAGUUUCUGGAUGAUAACCUCUUUCAACAGAAGUCGAUGGCCUUGAAUUGUACUCCCGGUGAGUAGUUCUCAUUGGAGUUCUACUACCAUCUUCUGGAGAUUCUACCUCAGCACUUAAACUACGGUUUUGAGAAGAAAGGAGAGCCUCAGGAAUAGUGUUUGUGUGAUCAUUGCCGUCAGGUUCCCAACGUUUUGCUGCAUCCAAAGAAAGAACACACGAAAAAAGAAAACACUUAUGAAUGAGGUGGGUUACUUGUAAACAUGCUACUUAAGAAGGCUGUUGUACCAUGAAGAAUCGAGUCGCAUCCACCACAUUUGUAAGAAGUAGCAUCUAAAGGUUCCUGGAGAAGUUUGUGGCACUUAGGACAUCUCACGAUUCUAGAUUGAGAAGAUAAUCCGGGCACGGUUCUACUCCUCAUACCUCUGAACAUAUGCUUCAAGUCUUUACUACUUGCCAACUACCAAAAAAAAAGAUAAAAGACAAGCACUUCAGCUCAAAUCCAGAACUCAAGAACCUGUAACAGGAAAAAUCAAAGAUCUAAGAGAGAGAGAGAGGAAGAAGAUGAGAAGUCACCUUAGAACGGAUAAUGGAGAGGAGCCUAGGUGAAGGUGAAGAAUCUGAGGAUGGUUCAAAAGUUUUCUUGGUAGAAGAAGACUGGGAUCUGCUCUGUUUCUUCUUCUUCAUCAUGGUUUGGUGAUUGACUUAACUCUGAUGAAUGAUCUUUUUCUUUUUUCUUUCUGGGAAUAAAACUUUGUUGAUGAUCUUUCAAGCAAGCAAGUAGGAGGAGGAGAUAUAUUAUUAUAUGAAUCAGAUCAGGCACUAUAAUGAAUAAUGGUCAAGGUGAUGAAGGUUUUAACAGACUUGUUUAUUGACUAUUAUUUUGCUUCUUUCAA